rnacentral:sRNA from 1 species
UAUAGAUGUUCACGGACUAAGAGCGCCACGUCCUGUGGCAACGUCCGUGUGACAAACAUCCUGUUUG